rnacentral:rRNA from 1 species
UACGUAGGGACCAAGCGUUGUUCGGAUUUACUGGGCGUAAAGGGCGCGUAGGCGGCAAUUCAAGUCAGCUGUGAAAUCUCCGGGCUUAACUCGGAACGGUCAGCUGAUACUGCUUUGCUAGAGUGCGGAAGGGCAAUCGGAAUUCUCGGUGUAGCGGUGAAAUGCGUAGAUAUCGGGAGGAACACCAGUGGCGAAGGCGGUGUUUCUGGGGCCGGAACUGACGCUGAGGAGCGAAAAGCGUGGGUAGCAAACAGG